rnacentral:rRNA from 1 species
UGGGGAAUAUUGGACAAUGGGCGCAAGCCUGAUCCAGCCAUGCCGCGUGUGUGAAGAAGGCCUUUUGGUUGUAAAGCACUUUAAGCGAGGAGGAGGCUACUUAGAUUAAUACUCUAGGAUAGUGGACGUUACUCGCAGAAUAAGCACCGGCUAACUCUGUGCCAGCAGCCGCGGUAAUACAGAGGGUGCGAGCGGUAAUCGGAUUUACUGGGCGUAAAGCGUGCGUAGGCGGCUUGUUAAGUCGGAUGUGAAAGCCCUGAGUUUAACUUAGGAAUUGCAUUCGAUACUGGAAGGCUAGAGUAUGGGAGAGGAUGGUAGAAUUCCAGGUGUAGCGGUGAAAUGCGUAGAGAUCUGGAGGAAUACCGAUGGCGAAGGCAGCCAUCUGGCCUAAUACUGACGCUGAGGUACGAAAGCAUGGGGAGCAAACA